rnacentral:rRNA from 1 species
ACGAACGCUGGCGGCGUGCUUAACACAUGCAAGUCGAACGGUAAGGCUCCAGCUUGCUGGGGUACACGAGUGGCGAACGGGUGAGUAACACGUGGGUGACCUGCCCUGCACUUCGGGAUAAGCCUGGGAAACUGGGUCUAAUACCGGAUAGGACUGCACCGUGAGGGUGUGGUGGAAAGUUUUUUCGGUGUGGGAUGGGCCCGCGGCCUAUCAGCUUGUUGGUGGGGUAAUGGCCUACCAAGGCGGCGACGGGUAGCCGGCCUGAGAGGGUGGACGGCCACAUUGGGACUGAGACACGGCCCAGACUCCUACGGGAGGCAGCAGUGGGGAAUAUUGCACAAUGGGCGGAAGCCUGAUGCAGCGACGCCGCGUGGGGGAUGACGGCCUUCGGGUUGUAAACUCCUUUCACCAUCGACGAAGGGUUUCUGACGGUAGAUGGAGAAGAGGCACCGGCUAACUACGUG